GCCGGGCACAGCUAGUGACCCUAUAUAAUUGCACCCUUGGUUUCCAUCUGUACCGAAAUGAGACAAUUGGAGGGUGCGUCAAUAUAUAUAAAUCGUGCCUGCGAAUCUUUUCAUAUUUAAAAAGGAAAGUAGGAUGUUUUCAUCUUGCAAGGGAAUCUUCAGUUGGAUCUCGCUUUACUCUCCCCGUCUUCUCAAACCAAGGCCAAGGGGUCAGCUGGGGUGAGGGUCAAUGCGUUGCCCAGAGAUAAUUUGGACGCUUUUGCAAGUAUUUGGUCCUGGCUUUUUCCAUGCUUGCAAACCUAAGAGCGGGCCCUUGAGUUACCAAGCAACCAGGAAGGACGAAAAAGGGAUGCGGGAGGAAAGAACAUCCCGGCUUUUUCUUUUGUCCAUCUCUUGCAGGCGAGCUAUUGAGAAAACAAGGUCAAGGACCACGGAUAUGGAGAGUAAUGUUACAGCGAGGUUAGUUGAUGGGCACAUGCUUUGCUAAUGAGAUCAGCUGCAACAAACCAAACCGAGGGAGUGUAUUUGUUUUAAUCUUCCUUCCUGAGGUCCAGCAGGGGUUUUUCACAGAAGAAUUUCUUCCAGAAGGCAGAGAUAAACAAAUCGAGCAACACAAAGAGGAUGGAAUGACUGGCACAACAUGGUCAAGAUCCUACAUCGAAGAUCUGGAAAGGAAGGUUAAGAUCAGAAGUAUGCCGUCACACUCGGGCAUCUAUGAUAAACUAAAAUGUGCUGCUUUCUUUGCCCGGGUGAACUGCGGGGCCUUACUUCGAAGCUCAGGAGUCCCAGUAACCAAGGCCACUUCAAGUUGAACAUCCAACAAGAUUUUUAUUUUCUCAAAGUCCUUGACAGACUUGACACACGUAGUUAAGGGUACAAAUAUAAACAGUCAACUUAUAAAAUCA